GACGAACGCUGGCGGCGUGCUUAACACAUGCACGUCGAACGGAAAGGCCCUGCUUUUGUGGGGUGCUCGAGUGGCGAACGGGUGAGUAACACGUGAGUAACCUGCCCUUGACUUUGGGAUAACUUCAGGAAACUGGGGCUAAUACCGGAUAGGAGCUCCUGCUGCAUGGUGGGGGUUGGAAUGUUUCGGCGGUUGGGGAUGGACUCGCGGCUUAUCAGCUUGUUGGUGGGGUAGUGGCUUACCAAGGCUUUGACGGGUAGCCGGCCUGAGAGGGUGACCGGCCACAUUGGGACUGAGAUACGGCCCAGACUCCUACGGGGGGCAGCAGUGGGGAAUAUUGCACAAUGGGCGGAAGCCUGAUGCAGCAACGCCGCGUGCGGGAUGACGGCCUUCGGGUUGUAAACCGCUUUCGCCUGUGACGAAGCGUGAGUGACGGUAAUGGGUAAAGAAGCACCGGCUAACUACGUG
rnacentral:rRNA from 1 species